rnacentral:rRNA from 1 species
GCUUUGACGGGCCCGUCCUCCGGGACCGCCGGCUGCGGCUGGUCCGCGCCCGUCAGAGGACCUCCAACUCUUGUCAAACCUACCGUCUGAGUACGAUACAAUCAUUAAAACUUUCAACAACGGAUCUCUUGGUUCUGGCAUCGAUGAAGAACGCAGCGAAAUGCGAUAAGUAAUGUGAAUUGCAGAAUUCAGUGAAUCAUCGAAUCUUUGAACGCACAUUGCGCCCUCUGGUAUUCCGGGGGGCAUGCCUGUUCGAGCGUCAUUACAACCCUCAAGCUCUGCUUGGUAUUGGGCAUCACCGGCCUCGGCGUGCCUCAAAAUCAGUGGCGGCGCCGCUCGGCUCCAAGCGUAGUAAUACUCCUCGCUUCCGGACGUCGGGUGUGUGGCUGCCAGCAACCCCCAACAUAUCAAGGUUGACCUCGGAUCAGGUAGG